rnacentral:rRNA from 1 species
AUCUACGGCCAUACCACCCUAAGUGCCCCAUCUCAUCUGAUCUCAGAAGCUAAGCAGAGUCAGUCCUGGUUAGUACUCAGAUGGGAGGAGAGACUGCUUGGAAGAGGUUGCUU